GCUCCCUUCGUCUAGCGGUUAGGACGCCGGCCUCUCACGCCGGUAACAGGGGUUCGAAUCCCCUAGGGAGCGCCA
rnacentral:tRNA from 1 species